UACGUAGGGGGCAAGCGUUGUCCGGAUUCAUUGGGCGUAAAGAGCGUGUAGGCGGCCAGGUAGGUCGGUUGUGAAAACUGGAGGCUCAACCUUCAGAGGUCGACCGAAACCAUCUGGCUAGAGUCCGGGAGAGGCGAGUGGAAUUCCCGGUGUAGCGGUGAAAUGCGCAGAUAUCGGGAGGAACACCAAUGGCGAAGGCAGCUCGCUGGGACGGUACUGACGCUGAGACGCGAAAGCGUGGGGAGCAAACAGG
rnacentral:rRNA from 1 species